AAACCUGGUCUUGCUCACAAAAUUAGUAAUUACGCAAACAAGAAUUUUAUUCACAGUUAUUUUCAUCCACAAUUUGAGCCCUAGAUGACAAUUUCUAAUCAUAAGUUUCUAGUGGCUACACAAGUUGCCUGAAACUUGAUUCUGGACUUUCUUCCUAUGCCUUCAGUGCUGAUUACUCUCACCACACCCAUAUCCACACAGAAUUCAGCAUCACAGCAAGAUCCAUAACAAUCAUAAAAGAACAGGCUUCAAUUAGUACAACAAAGACAUCUCUAAACAACAACAACAAAAUUAUUUAGAUAAAGCUUGAUCCUACACUUAUCAUGUUUAUUUUAGUACUAAAAUGCGUGCAACUAUUUUCUCAAUUUUAUAGUGUAUGAAAAUAUAAUAACUUUUUUUUGCAUAAACCCCUACGAUAUGCGUUUAUUUCCGAAGUACCCUCUCCCUUAUGGCUGUAUUAACAUAUUGUCCCAUCAAAGGGACCAUAAAAACAAAAGGAACCCCUAGCAUGACAUUUACUAUAUAGAUCUCUUGAAGCUUGAUUAGUUUAUGCCAUUCUUGUGAAAGACGCAUUUCGCUUUGGCUAAAGAACAAUUAUAUGACUUUCAGAUCUCUCUUAAACAAAAGGAAUAAUAACCUAACUGCUAAUAUAGCUGCUGAUCUUCAACAGCCUCCAUCACCAUGGUUGCUCCCGUCACCAUGAAAAUGGGACACCUGCCUGCUAAUAUAGUUGUUGUUCUUCAACAACCUCCAUCACCAUGGUUGCUCCAGUCACCAUGAAAUGGGAUAAUUGUAUCUAUUGCAGUAUAACAAGUCAAGGAAGCCAAACAUCAUAUUUAUUUCAUUUUUUGGGUCAUAUUGGGGUCAUAUGUAAAUACCCAAGGUAUUUUAAUAAUAAUAAUAUACUUGUUCCUUGAUGUUUGAAAUUUGAAGUUCUAGCCACCGAUGAUUUGUGGCAUCGCCAAGGGAGCAAAAGGGUUGAAUUCAAACUGGAAAAUAAUCAUAAAGAAAUAAUCUUUUUUGGCAUAAAGAAAUGCCCAUUAAUUUCACAACUUCAACAUCUCCAUUCUCCAGAAAUUUAGGGAGCUAGCUAUUCAAAUCAUCUAAUUAUCAAAGAUAAAAAACCUUCAUUUACCAAGAUCCUUUUACCAAGUAAUAUAAAUUGGUUCAACUAUCUAAGGUUGCACAAGGACGUCGAAGAAAAUAUGGUCUAUCAACAAAUCCUAUAAUAUGCAGUCUCAUAUUAUCUUCGUCCAAAUAAAUUCAGCCCAUAAUUUGACUGGAUCAAAGGUUAAAAAUGCAGCGUGUCGUUCAAGAAGAACGUAACAAUUAAAAUGUCAAAAUCUUUGAACAGAGGCAGGCCACAAUUUGAUCGAUUCCAUCUUUCAAAAGCACUUUGUAUUCCGUUGAUUCUACUCCAGCUUUAUUACUAUCUCUCGAGUGAAGAUAAUGUAGCUACAACAUCGAAUGGAAUUGCCUAAAUAAUGUAAAAAGUGAUCGAAAUAAGCUUGAUGAACAACUUUGCAAAUGGCUGUUUCUAUUGCACAAGAAUAUAAUACUCCAUCCCAUACUUCUAGAUAUGUUGACGAAAGGAAUCGAAAUGAUCCUAAAAGUAAAUCUUAUUCAGUUGGAUAACAAGAUGAUGGAAUCAACGAACGGGAUCAAGAAGGCAAAGGAGAUUGGAAAAAAAGAGAGAGGCGGUUACCGAAGGAGGAGGAGCAUCGGACGAUGGGUUUGAGGCGGCGAAAGGAAGACACGGCCGCCGCGGCGAACGCGCCCCUUCGCUUGCCCUCCUCUGAUCUUCUUCGAUGAUCGGAUUUAUGGGAUCGAUCUCGAUAAGCUCGUUAUCGUCCUCCCAAAAGAAGUGGUGGCGGCGAGCAACAGAUUGAACGAAAGAUGGGCGCAGCGCAGCGGAGGGUUUCCGACGCUGACAUCACACAUUGACGUGACGGUUUGGUUCCUCAAGCAAUGUGGCUCGGAUAAUGGGUUCGGUCUGACACGGCUUUGUGCUCGGACCUGAC
rnacentral:lncRNA from 1 species